rnacentral:lncRNA from 1 species
UGUGUGCUCACACUUUCAACAGUACUGCCGAGUCCACCUCUACCUGCCAUUCUUUUCAAAGAAAAUGUGAGCUGAGAGAGCAAUGUCCCUAAACACUAGCCCAACAAUAAAGGAGCACUUUUUUUAAUGGGUCAAUCCUUCUGUUACUACAGGACUAAUUGAGUGGUGCAAGUUCAUUUCUAAUAUAUUUUCCUAAGGACAGUUUCAAUUUUUUUUGUUUUUUUAAGAUGGAGUUUCACUGUUUUUGCCCAGGCUGGAAUGCAAUAGCGCAAUCUUGGCUCACUGUAACCUCUGACUCCCAGGUUCAAGUGAUUCUGCUGCCUCAGCCUCCCAAGCAGCUGGGAUUACAGGCGCGCAACACGACACCUGGCUAAAU